rnacentral:rRNA from 1 species
GACGAACGCUGGCGGCGUGCUUAACACAUGCAAGUCGAACGGAAAGGCUCUUCUUUUCUGGGGUACUCGAGUGGCGAACGGGUGAGUAACACGUGAGUAACCUGCCCUUGACUUUGGGAUAAGUUCGGGAAACUGGGGCUAAUACCGGAUAGGAGCUCCUGUUGCAUGGUGUUGGUUGGAAAGUUUCGGCGGUGGGGGAUGGACUCGCGGCUUAUCAGCUUGUUGGGGGGGUAGUGGCAUACCAAGGCUUAGACGGGUAGCCGGCCUGAGAGGGUGACCGGCCACAUUGGGACUGAGAUACGGCCCAGACUCCUACGGGAGGCAGCAGUGGGGAAUAUUGCACAAUGGGCGGAAGCCUGAUGCAGCAACGCCGCGUGCGGGAUGACGGCCUUCGGGUUGUAAACCGCUUUCGCCUGUGACGAAGCGUGAGUGACGGUAAUGGGUAAAGAAGCACCGGCUAACUACGUG